rnacentral:miRNA from 1 species
ACAUUGGACUACAUAUAUUAC